rnacentral:rRNA from 1 species
GAGGAAUAUUGGUCAAUGGGCGCGAGCCUGAACCAGCCAAGUAGCGUGAAGGAUGAAGGUCCUAUGGAUUGUAAACUUCUUUUAUAGCAGAAUAAAGUGACCCACGUGUGGGUUUUUGUAUGUAUGCUAUGAAUAAGGAUCGGCUAACUCCGUGCCAGCAGCCGCGGUAAUACGGAGGAUCCGAGCGUUAUCCGGAUUUAUUGGGUUUAAAGGGUGCGUAGGCGGAAAGAUAAGUCAGCCUGUGAAAGUUUGCGGCUCAACCGUAAAAUGUCAGUUGAUACUGUUUUUCUUGAGUGUACAUAAGGUAGGCGGAAUUCGUGGUGUAGCGGUGAAAUGCUUAGAUAUCACGAAGAACUCCGAUUGCGAAGGCAGCUUACCGGGGUACAACUGACGCUGAUGCACGAAAGUGUGGGUAUC